GAUGAACGCUGGCGGCGUGCUUAACACAUGCAAGUCGAACGAAGCAAUUAUGAUUGAGAUUUCGGUUGAUUGAAUAAUUGACUUAGUGGCGGACGGGUGAGUAACGCGUGGGUAACCUGCCUCGUACAGGGGGAUAACAGUUAGAAAUGACUGCUAAUACCGCAUAACCCGCUAGAGUCGCAUGACUCAGACGGAAAAGAUUUAUCGGUACGAGAUGGACCCGCGUCUGAUUAGCUGGUUGGCAGGGUAACGGCCUACCAAGGCGACGAUCAGUAGCCGGCCUGAGAGGGUGAACGGCCACAUUGGGACUGAGACACGGCCCAA
rnacentral:rRNA from 1 species